rnacentral:rRNA from 1 species
ACAUCCAGAGACUUAGCAGAGAUGCUUUGGUGCCUUCGGGAACUCUGAGACAGGUGCUGCAUGGCUGUCGUCAGCUCGUGUUGUGAAAUGUUGGGUUAAGUCCCGNAACGAGCGCAACCCUUAUCCUUUGUUGCCAGCGAUUCGGUCGGGAACUCAAAGGAGACUGCCGGUGAUAAACCGGAGGAAGGUGGGGAUGACGUCAAGUCAUCAUGGCCCUUACGAGUAGGGCUACACACGUGCUACAAUGGCGCAUACAAAGAGAAGCGACCUCGCGAGAGCAAGCGGACCUCACAAAGUGCGUCGUAGUCCGGAUCGGAGUCUGCAACUCGACUCCGUGAAGUCGGAAUCGCUAGUAAUCGUGGAUCAGAAUGCCACGGUGAAUACGUUCCCGGGCCUUGUACACACCGCCCGUCACACCAUGGGAGUGGGUUGCAAAAGAAGUAGGUAGCUUAACCUUCGGGAGGGCGCUUACCACUUUGUGAUUCAUGACUGGGGUGAAGUCGUAACAAGGUAAGCGUAGUGCU